GGGACGGUGGCGGAAUCGGUAGACGCAUCGGACUUAAAAUCCGCUGAGGAUUAACCCUCGUGAGAGUUCAAGUCUCUCUCGUCCUA
rnacentral:tRNA from 1 species